rnacentral:rRNA from 1 species
AUUGAACGCUGGCGGCAGGCCUAACACAUGCAAGUCGAGCGGAUGAGGGAGCUUGCUCCUGGAUUCAGCGGCGGACGGGUGAGUAAUGCCUAGGAAUCUGCCUGGUAGUGGGGGAUAACGUCCGGAAACGGGCGCUAAUACCGCAUACGUCCUGAGGGAGAAAGUGGGGGAUCUUCGGACCUCACGCUAUCAGAUGAGCCUAGGUCGGAUUAGCUAGUUGGUGGGGUAAAGGCCUACCAAGGCGACGAUCCGUAACUGGUCUGAGAGGAUGAUCAGUCACACUGGAACUGAGACACGGUCCAGACUCCUACGGGAGGCAGCAGUGGGGAAUAUUGGACAAUGGGCGAAAGCCUGAUCCAGCCAUGCCGCGUGUGUGAAGAAGGUCUUCGGAUUGUAAAGCACUUUAAGUUGGGAGGAAGGGCAGUAAGUUAAUACCUUGCUGUUUUGACGUUACCAACAGAAUAAGCACCGGCUAACUUCGUG